rnacentral:rRNA from 1 species
UGUGCCAGAGGAUGGGGCUGCGGCCGAUCAGGCCGUUGGCGAGGUAACGGCUCACCAAACCUUUGACCGGUACGGGCCAUGAGAGUGGUAGCCCGGAGAUGGACACUGAGAUAGGGGUCCAGGCCCUACGGGGCGCAGCAGGCGCGAAAACUCCACACUGUACGUAAGUACGAUGGGGUUACCUCGAGUGUAGUCUGUAAAAGAUUGCUUUUCCAUAGAGUAAUAUCCUGUGGGAAUAAGAGGGGGGCAAGACUGGUGUCAGCCGCCGCGGUAACACCAGCCCCUCGAGUGGUAGGGACUUUUAUUUGGCCUAAAGCGUUCGUAGCCGUCUGUAACCGUUGCCCGUUAAAUCCAGCGUCUCAAGCGUUGGACUGCGGGCGAUACCUUACAGAUUGAGGGUGGGAUAGGUAAGCGGUAUUUCUGGGGUAGGGGCGAAAUCCUUUGAUCCCAGGAGGACCACCAGUGGCGAAGGCUGCUUACUAGAACACGCCUGACGGUCAGGAACGAAAGCUGGGGUAGCGAACCGGAUUAGAUACCCGGGUAGUCCCAGCUGUAAACGAUGCGCGCUAGGUGUUGGGUCGGCCAUGCGCCGCCCCAGUGCCGCAGGGAAGCCGUUAAGCGCGCCGCCUGGGGAGUACGGCCGCAAGGCUGAAACUUAAAGGAAUUGGCGGGGGAGCAC